AGAAUGAUUCCCACUUUCUGUUUCUCUGCUGUAGGUUCCCUCUAGCACCCAUGAUUAAUAGCCUAACAGAGAACCCAGCUGAUACCCAUGUAUGUGUGCAAGCAGAGCCUGGGGGCCUGAGCAACCACCGUUAGAGAGCACUGGGCUCCAGAAGACCCACACCAUCACAUUAUGAAGAAACCCAGGCCAUCUGCAGAGGUGCUCUGGCUGACAGCUUCAGCUAAAUUCCUAAAGGGCAGCCCACACCACUCUCCCAGCAUGUGAGUGUGUGACCCUCCAGAUGAUUCCAGCUUCCAACCUUUGACCCAUUACAGCUGGUGCUGCAAGGAUUACAGCUUGAUUUCAGACUUAAGCAACCUGCUGCUACUGAAGAGAAUGUGGCUCCAAUUUCCUUCCGACUUGGCUACGUAUUUCUUCAACUCUGCUUGUCCUUCAUUGAACUAAAGGAAUCAGUGCCAUACAGAAAGAUUUGCCUUCCAAAGACUUCAUAUUCUUAAAGGUGAUCAUACUGGUAAUCUUUAUUUCUAUAUUUGCUUAUAUUUUAAUGCAAUUAAAAAAAACAUUGCCCGUAAAUCAUAUCUUCCAGUUAUCCAAAGCCCACGAACAAAUUAGCAAGUGGAAAAGGGGGUUUGGAGUCUAAUGGUCUCUAAGCUCCCUCCUUAUAUUAACUCUGUAAUUCUAGCAAUCAAAUCAGUUCUUGUCUUAUAAACCUCAUCUCCUCUUUCAUUCUCUUGGAUUCUCAAUCAUUUUGAUUUAGGAAUGAAUCAGGGAAAUUUUCUUUAAGUGGCUAAGAUAUUUUUAAUGGGUUAUGAGACUUUGAACAAUAGAUGUUUUUCUGUGGCAGAAAAAAAUUAUUAAAUUUAAGCCUUUGGCUUGCAAUUCUAAGUUCUUUGAAUAUAGUGAGGCUGCUAUAGCAUUAAUUGUUCAGAGUUAUUUAAUGUGAUUGUUCCAUAGAUAUGGAACACCACCACGGCUGUGUCAGUUAGUAGUCUCUAUGAAUUCCUUUUAUGACCAUGAAACUGUAUCUGCAUAUAAAGUUUAAAAUGGCCUAUCCCAAGGAGGAAAGAAGUCCACAGAAGGACAGUGAGAGAAGAAAAUUGUGAAAUGGUGUUCUCCUGUUUAAACUUACGCUUGAAAUUUUGCAUCAGUGCUGAACAAUUGACUUAGUUCCUGUAAGUUAUUAAAUCAAACCUUAACCAUUUCUACUCCAUAGCAAAAAUUCCAAUUCUGCUUACUCAGAUUACAUUUUAACCCUUCAAUCACCUAUAAUUUUCUUUAAAUGUGAGCA